GGUACGGGUUGUGAGAGCAAGAGCCCGGAGAUGGAUUCUGAGACACGAAUCCAGGCCCUACGGGGUGCAGCAGGCGCGAAAACUUUACAAUGCUGGCAACAGCGAUAAGGGAACCUCGAGUGCCAGGUUACAAAUCUGGCUGUCGAGAUGCCUAAAAAGCAUUUCAUAGCAAGGGCCGGGCAAGACCGGUGCCAGCCGCCGCGGUAACACCGGCGGCUCGAGUGGUAACCGUUAUUAUUGGGUCUAAAGGGUCUGUAGCCGGCCGGAUAAGUCUCUUGAGAAAUCUGGCAGCUUAACUGUCAGGCUUUCAGGAGAUACUGUCUGGCUCGAGGCCGGGAGAGGUGAGAGGUACUUCAGGGGUAGGGGUGAAAUCUUGUAAUCCUUGAAGGACCACCAGUGGCGAAGGCGUCUCACCAGAACGGACCUGACGGCAAGGGACGAAAGCUAGGGGCACGAACCGGAUUAGAUACCCGGGUAGUCCUAGCCGUAAACGAUACUCGCUAGGUGUCGGCCACGGUGCGACCGUUGUCGGUGCCGUAGGGAAGCCGUGAAGCGAGC
rnacentral:rRNA from 1 species